UUUUGCUUCCAACCGAGGAAAAGGAAAAGCAAAAAUAGAGAAGGCACAUCUGCUUCUUAAUCAACUUGGCUUGGGAGUGGAACACCCCUAUUCAUAUUCCAUUUACAGGAGCUAAUCUCAUGGUGGGAAUUGCAGUGGCUGAGCAGCAGCAUCUUAGCAGAUACUGUGCUUUAUGAAAGGUGGGUGGGGGUGUAGAUAUUUACUAGACAUCCACCUGUGUCUGCUGCAAUCCUGAAGAGCUGGACAUUUGCCUCACCACAAAACCCACUGCCUACCACCAACUUGAAAACACAUUGACCAGGCCUAGUCAUUCAGAGUGGACUGGACCAUUCUUCCAACAGCAGCAAUAGUCUCAUGAACCAAUCGGAGUCAAUUAGUGUUCUCCAUGGGGUUUAACACCUUGAAGGAUGUAAACAGAGGGCUUCCAGCAGUCAUAAUACCUUUCAUAAGAACAAGAAGGCCUCGUUCGUUAGAAAGGAAGCCUCAGAGACCAUAGGAAAAGACCUAGCUCAAUGAUUCCUAAAGAAUGGGCAGCAAGAAGAGAAAGGAGCUAAUUAACAAUGAGGAAAGUGUAUGAACAAUGGAGCAAGUAUGUGACAGAAGACAUUGGCAUGGCUGGGUGACAGGGAGGACCAAGGGAGGGAAGGCACAAUUGCUCAAAAAAAAGUAGCUAAAUUAGUAAAUGUCUUUAAAGCUGGACUUUAAGAUUUUUGGCAAAAGUAGUAAUGUGGACUCCUAAAACAAACAAGAAUCAUAAAACUUUUGAGUUAAAAUGUCACAUAGAGAUCAUUUUAUCACCCAAAUGUCCAUCAAUAAAUGAGUGGAUAAAG
rnacentral:lncRNA from 1 species